rnacentral:rRNA from 1 species
UACGUAGGGUGCGAGCGUUGUCCGGAAUUAUUGGGCGUAAAGAGCUCGUAGGCGGUGUGUCACGUCGGCCGUGAAAACCUGGGGCUUAACUCUGGGCGUGCGGUCGAUACGGGCAUCACUAGAGUUCGGCAGGGGAGACUGGAAUUCCUGGUGUAGCGGUGAAAUGCGCAGAUAUCAGGAGGAACACCGGUGGCGAAGGCGGGUCUCUGGGCCGUAACCGACGCUGAGGAGCGAAAGCGUGGGGAGCGAACAGG